AGAUGUGCUCGUAGAGUAACCGAGCAGGGUAAUCAAAAGAAUACUCAUAUAAGA
rnacentral:sRNA from 12 species